rnacentral:rRNA from 1 species
GACGAACGCUGGCGGCGUGCUUAACACAUGCAAGUCGAACGGAAAGGCCCUGCUUGCAGGGUACUCGAGUGGCGAACGGGUGAGUAACACGUGGGUGAUCUGCCCUGCACUUCGGGAUAAGCCUGGGAAACUGGGUCUAAUACCGGAUAGGAGCCAUUUUUAGUGUGAUGGUUGGAAAGUUUUUUCGGUGUAGGAUGAGCUCGCGGCCUAUCAGCUUGUUGGUGGGGUAAUGGCCUACCAAGGCGGCGACGGGUAGCCGGCCUGAGAGGGUGGACGGCCACAUUGGGACUGAGAGACGGCCCAGACGCCGACGGGAGGAAGAAGUGGGGAAGAUUGCACAAGGGGCGCAAGCCUGAUGCAGCGACGCCGCGGGGGGGAGGACGGUCUUCGGGUUGUAAACUCCUUUCGCUAGGGACGAAGCUUUUUGUGACGGUACCUAGAUAAGAAGCACCGGCUAACUACGUG